rnacentral:rRNA from 1 species
AAUCAACGCUGGCGGCGUACCUCAGACAUGCAAGUCGAACGCGAAAGUCCCCUUCGGGGGACAAGUAGAGUGGCGCACGGGUGAGUAACACGUAGGUAAUCUACCUUCGGAUGGGGAAUAACAAUCGGAAACGGUUGCUAAUACCGCAUAAUGCAGCGGCACCUAAUGGUGACAGUUGUUAAAGCGGGGGAUCGAAAGACCUCGCGUCUGAAGAGGAGCCUGCGGCGGAUUAGCUAGNGGUAAGGUAAUGGCUUACCAAGGCGACGAUCCGUAACCGGCCUGAGAGGGCGGUCGGUCACACUGACACUGACAUACGGGUCAGACUCCUACGGGAGGCAGCAGUCGGGAAUUUUGGGCAAUGGGCGAAAGCCUGACCCAGCAACGCCGCGUGAAGGAUGAAAUCCCUCGGGAUGUAAACCUCUUUCGACUCCGACGAAGCGCAAGUGACGGUAGGAGUAGAAGAAGCACCGGCCAACUACGUG